rnacentral:rRNA from 1 species
UACGUAGGGUGCGAGCGUUGUCCGGAAUUACUGGGCGUAAAGCGCACGUAGGCGGCUUUGUAAGUAAGAGGUGAAAGCCCAGAGCUCAACUCUGGAAUUGCCUUUUAGACUGCAUCGCUUGAAUCAUGGAGAGGUCAGUGGAAUUCCGAGUGUAGAGGUGAAAUUCGUAGAUAUUCGGAAGAACACCAGUGGCGAAGGCGGCUGACUGGACAUGUAUUGACGCUGAGGUGCGAAAGCGUGGGGAGCAAACAGG